UACGUAGGCAGCAAGCGUUGUUCGGAAUUACUGGGCGUAAAGCGUGUGUAGGCGGUUGGGUAAGUCUGGUGUGAAAUCUCCCGGCUCAACUGGGAGGGUGCGCCGGAAACUGCCUGGCUAGAGUGCGGAAGAGGAGAGUGGAAUUCCCGGUGUAGCGGUGAAAUGCGUAGAUAUCUGGAGGAACACCGGUGGCGAAGGCGGGUCUCUGGGCCGUAACUGACGCUGAGGAGCGAAAGCGUGGGGAGCGAACAGG
rnacentral:rRNA from 1 species